GUGCUCACUUUGGCAGUACAUGUACUAAAAUUGGAAUGAUACAGAGAUUACCAUGGCCUCUGAGCAAGGAUGACACGCAAAUUGAUGAAGUAUUCCAUAUAAAA
rnacentral:snRNA from 1 species